GAUGAACGCUGGCGGCGUGCCUAAUACAUGCAAGUCGAACGCUUCACUUCGGUGAAGAGUGGCGAACGGGUGAGUAAUACAUAAGUAACCUGGCAUCUACAGGGGGAUAACUGAUGGAAACGUCAGCUAAGACCGCAUAGGUGUAGAGAUCGCAUGAACUCUAUAUGAAAAGUGCUACGGGACUGGUAGAUGAUGGACUUAUGGCGCGUUAGCUUGUUGGUAGGGUAACGGCCUACCAAGGCGACGAUGCGUAGCCGACCUGAGAGGGUGACCGGCCACACUGGGACUGAGACACGGCCCAGACUCCUACGGGAGGCAGCAGUAGGGAAUUUUCGGCAAUGGGGGAAACCCUGACCGAGCAACGCCGCGUGAAGGAAGAAGUAAUUCGUUAUGUAAACUUCUGUCAUAGAGGAAGAACGGUGGAUAUAGGGAAUGAUAUCCAAGUGACGGUACUCUAUAAGA
rnacentral:rRNA from 1 species